GGUGGUAUAGCGGUUAAAGUGCUCGGCUGCUAACCAAAAGGUCAGUGGUUCAAAUCCACUAGCCGCCA
rnacentral:tRNA from 1 species